rnacentral:rRNA from 1 species
GACGAACGCUGGCGGCGUGCUUAACACAUGCAAGUCGUACGGUAAGGCCCUUUCGGGGGUACACGAGUGGCGAACGGGUGAGUAACACGUGAGUAACCUGCCCACAACUUUGGGAUAACGCUAGGAAACUGGUGCUAAUACUGGAUAUGUGCUCCUGCUGCAUGGUGGGGGUUGGAAAGCUCCGGCGGUUGUGGAUGGACUCGCGGCCUAUCAGCUUGUUGGUGGGGUAGUGGCCUACCAAGGCGGCGACGGGUAGCCGGCCUGAGAGGGUGACCGGCCACAUUGGGACUGAGAUACGGCCCAGACUCCUACGGGAGGCAGCAGUGGGGAAUAUUGCACAAUGGGCGCAAGCCUGAUGCAGCAACGCCGCGUGCGGGAGAACGGCCUUCGGGUUGUAAACCGCUUUCAGCAGGGACGAAGCUUUUUGUGACGGUACCUGCAGAAGAAGCACCGGCUAACUACGUG